CGAAAUGCGAUAAGUAAUGUGAAUUGCAGAAUUCAGUUAAUCAUCGAAUCUUUGAACGCACAUUGCGCCCGCCAGUAUUCUGGCGGGCAUGCCUGUCCGAGCGUCAUUUCAACCAUCAAGCCCCCGGGCUUGUGUUGGGGACCUGCGGCUGCCCGCAGGCCCUGAAAACCAGUGGCGGGCUCGCUGUCACACCGAGCGUAGUAGCAAUCACCUCGCUCAGGGCGUGCUGCGGGUUCCGGCCGUUAAACAGCCUUACAAAACCCAAGGUUGACCUCGGAUCAGGUAGGAAGACCCGCUGAACUUAAGC
rnacentral:misc_RNA from 1 species